CCAAACUGUUGCCUCGGCGGGAACUCAUGCCCCGGGUGCGUCGCAGCCCCGGACCAAGGCGCCCGCCGGAGGACCAACCAAAACUCUUUUUGUAUACCCCCUCGCGGGUUUUUUUAUAAUCUGAGCCUUCUCGGCGCCUCUCGUAGGCGUUUCGAAAAUGAAUCAAAACUUUCAACAACGGAUCUCUUGGUUCUGGCAUCGAUGAAGAACGCAGCGAAAUGCGAUAAGUAAUGUGAAUUGCAGAAUUCAGUGAAUCAUCGAAUCUUUGAACGCACAUUGCGCCCGCCAGUAUUCUGGCGGGCAUGCCUGUCCGAGCGUCAUUUCAACCCUCGAACCCCUCCGGGGGGUCGGCGUUGGGGAUCGGCCCUCCUCUUGCGGGGGCCGUCUCCGAAAUACAGUGGCGGUCUCGCCGCAGCCUCUCCUGCGCAGUAGUUUGCACACUCGCAUCGGGAGCGCGGCGCGUCCACAGCCGUUAAACACCCAACUUCUGAAAUGUUGACCUCGGAUCAGGUAGGAAUACCCGCUGAACUUAAGCAUAUCAAUAAGCGGAGGAA
rnacentral:rRNA from 1 species